AACGAACGCUGGCGGCAUGCCUAACACAUGCAAGUCGAACGCUCUCGGGGCUUUGGUCUCGGGGGAGUGGCGCACGGGUGAGUAGCGCGUGGGAACCUGCCCUUUAGUGGGGGAUAACCGAGGGAAACUUCGGCUAAUACCGCAUACGCCCCGGGGCGUGGUCUUCGGAUCAGGCUGUGGGGGAAAGAUUGAUCGCUAAAGGAGGGGCCCGCGUCGGAUUAGCUGGUUGGUGGGGUAACGGCUCACCAAGGCGAUGAUCCGUAGCUGGUCUGAGAGGAUGAUCAGCCACACUGGGACUGAGACACGGCCCAGACUCCUACAGGAGGCAGCAGUGGGGAAUAUUGGACAAUGGGCGCAAGCCUGAUCCAGCAAUGCCGCGUGAGUGAUGAAGGCCUUAGGGUUGUAAAGCUCUUUCGCCCGCGACGAUGAUGACGGUAGCGGGAGAAGAAGCCCCGGNUAACUUCGUGCCAGCAGCCGCCGUAAG
rnacentral:rRNA from 1 species